GCCUGAGGGGCUUAGUGGUUGAGCAUCUGCCUUCAGCUCAGGUCAGGAUCCUGGGGUCCUGGGAUCAAGUCCCACAUCAGGCU
rnacentral:tRNA from 1 species